UCUAAAACAUUUCAGUUUCUCUCUACAGCCAUGGCCAUUACCACCACCACCACCACCUCUACCACUACCACCACUUCUGCCGUCGCCAACGAAUCCAAGAUAACUACUUAAAUUCGUUAUCACUUCAUUUUCAACUUUAAUUCCUCAUCUGAUUUCGGUGAAAAUUGAUUAGCUAUUAAGAUCCAGAUCGAAUCAUUUUGUAUGUUCAGGUAGUGAUUGUCUUCUUAUUCAAUUCGUUAUUUUCAAAAAAUUGUUUAAUUUCGCUUUUUAUUUUAUUUUAUUCCCAACUUUGAUUCCCCAUAUCAAUCAUGUGUUUUGUGGUGAAAAUUGAUUUAACAUCAAGAAUCAAAUUGAUUAGUUACUAGUAUGAUCGGAUCUCUGUAAUUGUUUUUUCUUACAUGAGAGGUCUUCGUUGAAUCUUCAUAGGAUGCAGAAACUAAAAAUUUUCUUAAUUUAGUUAAAGAUUUAGGAGAUGAUGAUAUGAUUUUUGGAUUUCAAUUUCAGGUGAUUUUCGGUUUUAAAAUCUGCAUUUUUUUUUAUUAAUUGGAGUUUAAUAAUUAAUCUCAUUGAUAGAGGAACAACUAAUCCUGGUGGUUUUAGUCGCGGAGGAGUUGGUGGUGGUGGUGAACUAAAUUGAUGUUACAUUUUGGGGAUUGUUUGGAUUUUCUGGUGAAUUUUUCUUGGGAUUUUUGUGUAGAGAUGGUAAUGCAAUCAAUAUAUUGGGGUUGCAAUUCUUCUUAGUAUACACCUGAAUGCUAUUAAGAACGCGUGGUUUACCAUAAAGGAGACAUCUGAAACGGCAAGGUUUGUCGGCUAGUAAUUCUGGUGUUGAUACUCAUUCUAGCACAACAAAUAUUUGUUCGGUUAAUGAUUUUUAGAGUACAAUAUAUUUUUGAUGAAUUUUUCUAACCAGUUAAGGGAUUGUAUAACUUAUCUCUCAUUCAUUAAUCAUCUGUGAUAUUGAUGAUUAAUAACAAUGAACAUUUCAACAAGGGAAAACACCCGCUGCAGAUGGUAUGUGUUUGGAGAAUUUAUCAAUUUGAAUGAUGUCAACCUGGCUUUGAGCUAAAUAAAAAGUGUGCUUGAGUAGCUACAUUUGAAGAUAUUCUAGCCGUGAUUGUUAGUGAUAUGGAUUUGUGCUGUAAUAUAAGCAUUAAUCUGUCUUUGCUUUUGAUUUGAUUAAAACAAGUGAUGUAGCUAAGAUACGUUGCAGGUUAAAUGGAGUUCUAUUGUGGAAAACUUAAAACCUGAUAUACCAAAUGUUGUUCUUCUGCAUGGUAUCCUCGGAGGCAGGAAAAAUUGGGGUACGUAGGCUUUAAUUUUCAUUUCAUGACACUUAGAAUUCAUAUUGAUUAGUUGUACCAGUCUCCCAAUCUGUGUUAUAGUUUUUGGUGGUUCAUGAAAUUGGUUAUUACCUUCUUAGAAUCAUCAGCAAACUCCUAAUAUUGUUAUUGAUCAGUAGCUUAAUGGUAUCCAUUAAGAGAUGAUAGUUGAUUAGAAGUUGAUUUAUUUUUGAAUUAUAUACAAAUUUUGAUUUGGUUAGCAAACACAAACAGUAGGGUCUUGUUUUUAGAGCUACGAAGUUAUGUCAUGUUUCUGUCACUAGUAGAUUCUUGAUUAGAAGUUGAUACUUGACUAAUGCCUCGGAUGUGGGUUUACUGUCGUAUUAGAUGAACUUUAGGUUUUUGAAAAGUGAGAGACAAACAUUUUGGAUGCGCCCAUUUAUGGGAUCAACUCUUGUUAUUGACACCAUUUUUAUGGGAUCAACUACGGUUGUUGAUCCCAUUUAUGGAAUCAAUUCCUAUUGUUGAUCCCAUUUUGUAUGGAUCACCCCUGUUAUUGAUCCAUUUUUAUGGGAUCAACUAUUUCUGUUGAUCUCAUUUUUUUAUGGGAAUAACUCCUAUUGUUGACAAAAUUUCCUUAGAUUAAUAUAAUUAUGCUUGUAGUUUAAAUGAUUGGAUUUUAUAGAUGUAAAUUCUUUAAAUGUUGAAUUUGUGGUGCAAUGAUAGCAUGGCUGACUCCAUGUCAGAUAAUGCGUGUUGGACUCAUGCCAAGUUCACUCAUUCAUGUCUGCUUUGGUUGUUGACAUUAUUUACAUGGAUCAACUUCCAUUGUUGAUCCAGUUUAAGGGAUCAACGACUGGUGUUGAUCCCCUAUAUUUGGAUCAACUUCUACUGUUGACCCUUUUUUUUUUUGGAUCAGCUACCGUUGUUGAUCCCUUAAAUUUGAUCAACUUCAACUGCUGAUUCUUUUUUUAUUUGGAUUAACUACUAUUGUUGAUGCAAAAUAUCUAAACUAGUGGUGGCGGCGACGGAUUGAUGGUGGCGACGGUGGUGGCGGCGGCGGUAGUCUGGUGGGGGUGGCGUCAGUGGGGGUGGCGUCAGUGGUGGUGGCGGACUGGCGGUGGUGGAGUGGUGAUGGCGGUUGGUAGGUGGUGGUCGUUAAAGGUUGGUGGUGUAAUGGUAGUUGAAUCUGAUGAAAUUAUUUGAGAAAGUAAUUAGAAACCCUUUUUUAAGAUUUUGUUAAUUUGUUCUUGUUCUGAGAUUGUUUGGAUCAUUUUUUUUAAACUAAGGUAUCUAGUGAAAGAAUCAUGCUAGGGUACGGAAAUAUCCCCUGCAUUGUAGUUCAGUUCAGUUUUUAAUUCAAUUCUUAAAAUGAAAUUUGCUUAUUGUAGCAUUUGGAUCAGGUUAUGAAAUGAAAGAAUCAUGUCACUGUUGGGGCGAUUUCCCUUGGGGUUCUAGUUUAGUUUUAGCCUACUUUCCAUCACCAACUGUGAAAUGUUGAUAAAUUGUUCUACUUUUAGAUUUAGGCACGAACCAUGUCCUUUUUUAGGGAAGGGGCAACAUUGUAUCAUGUGUUAUUGAAGUUGUUUAUUACUUAACUUGAUUUUUUUUCCGUAUGAAUUCUAUAUAUUGUGAUCAUGUUAGCUUCAUCUCGAUGCGGGAGCUGAUGCAGUACUUAAUGUUACCUUCGAGCCCCUUCAAAUGCUCUAUUGGAGAUUAAUGUUCCUCUUGUGUUUAUAAGGGAAUAUGUUUCUCUUGGAUUAAGAAAAGAUGGGGAAAAACAGUUUGCUGGUUUUCUAGGAAAGUGGAGAGUCGAGCGUGCUGUCGAGACUCCUCAACCGAGCGAACUGCUGAACCUCACACAGAUGCACCGCUGCAAAGGGGGUGCUUAGAUUCGGUAAAUCAAUCUGUAUGACUCCGGCCUAAACCAAGACAAUGGUCGUUCCAGAGUCAAUUCAGUCGCAAAGAGGGAGAUGGGUUGAUCUGUAGGAGGAAAGCUGAGAGUUGUGUGGGAUCAAUGAUGAUCAAUGAUUGCGGGUGUGUUGAAGGUUUCUGCAAUAUUGCUGAACUGCUGAAGUUGAGUUCUGUGAAUAAAUUUAUGUCGAGUUGUUGACAGAUAAUGAUGAUAAUCGAUGAUUGAUGAUAUUCUAUCCUUA